GCUAGCGGCAGGCCUAACACAUGCAAGUCGAGGGGUAGAACACUUCGGUGUUUGAGACCGGCGCACGGGUGCGUAACGCGUAUGCAAUCUACCUUAUACAGGGGAAUAGCCCAGAGAAAUUUGGAUUAAUGCCCCAUAGUAUUACGAAACGGCAUCGUUUUGUGAUUAAAGUUCCAACGGUAUAAGAUGAGCAUGCGUCCCAUUAGUUAGUUGGUAAGGUAACGGCUUACCAAGACAAUGAUGGGUAGGGGUCCUGAGAGGGAGAUCCCCCACACCGGUACUGAGACACGGACCAGACUCCUACGGGAGGCAGCAGUGAGGAAUAUUGGUCAAUGGGCGCAAGCCUGAACCAGCCAUGCCGCGUGCAGGAAGAAGCAUCUAUGGUGUGUAAACUGCUUUUAUACAGGAAGAAACAACGCUACGUGUAGCGUCUUGACGGUACUGUAAGAAUAAGGACCGGCUAACUCCGUGCCAGCAGCCGCGGUAAUACGGAGGGUCCAAGCGUUAUCCGGAAUCAUUGGGUUUAAAGGGUCCGUAGGCGGUCUUAUAAGUCAGUGGUGAAAUCUCCUAGCUCAACUAGGAAACUGCCAUUGAUACUGUAAGACUUGAAUUUUUGUGAAGUAACUAGAAUAUGUAGUGUAGCGGUGAAAUGCUUAGAUAUUACAUGGAAUACCAAUUGCGAAGGCAGGUUACUAACAAACGAUUGACGCUGAUGGACGAAAGCGUGGGGAGCGAACAGGAUUAGAUACCCUGGUAGUCCA
rnacentral:rRNA from 1 species